AAGCUCGUAGUUGAAUGUCUGGGUGGGUGGCGCCGGUGUGGUGUGCAAACGCCGCAGCUGUGUGCCAUUUCUGCCCUGUUAACUUUUGUGGGGUGCGGUGUGGCGGUCUUAGUUGGUCGUUGUGUCGUGAUCUCCUCCCUGCAUCGUUUACUGUGAACAAAUUAGAGUGUUCAAAGCAAGCUGUAGCGCUUGAAUACAUUAGCAUGGAAUAAUGAUAUAGGACUUUGGUGCUAUUUCGUUGGUUGCGUACCAAGGUAAUGAUUAAUAGGGAUAGUUGGGGGUAUUCAUAUUUGAUUGUCAGAGGUGAAAUUCUUGGAUUUAUUAAAGAUGAACAAGUGCGAAAGCWUUUACCAAGGAUGUUUUCAUUAAUCAAGAACGAAAGUCAGGGGAUCGAAGAGGAUUAGAUACCCUCGUAGUCUUGACCAUAAACUAUGCCGACUCAGGAUUGGCGGGG
rnacentral:rRNA from 1 species